rnacentral:rRNA from 1 species
AUAUCAAAGGUGAGCCAGUACAGGAUGGACCCGCGUCUGAUUAGCUAGUUGGUAAGGUAACGGCUUACCAAGGCGACGAUCAGUAGCCGACCUGAGAGGGUGAUCGGCCACAUUGGAACUGAGACACGGUCCAAACUCCUACGGGAGGCAGCAGUGGGGAAUAUUGCACAAUGGGCGAAAGCCUGAUGCAGCAACGCCGCGUGAGUGAUGAAGGCCUUCGGGUCGUAAAACUCUGUCCUCAAGGAAGAUAAUGACGGUACUUGAGGAGGAAGCCCCGGCUAACUACGUGCCAGCAGCCGCGGUAAUACGUAGGGGGCUAGCGUUAUCCGGAUUUACUGGGCGUAAAGGGUGCGUAGGCGGUCUUUCAAGUCAGGAGUGAAAGGCUACGGCUCAACCGUAGUAAGCUCUUGAAACUGGGAGACUUGAGUGCAGGAGAGGAGAGUGGAAUUCCUAGUGUAGCGGUGAAAUGCGUAGAUAUUAGGAGGAACACCAGUUGCGAAGGCGGCUCUCUGGACUGUAACUGACGCUGAGGCACGAAAGCGUGGGGAGCAAACAGGAUUAGAUACCCUGGUAGUCCACGCUGUAAACGAUGAGUAC